AACGAACGCUGGCGGCAUGCCUAACACAUGCAAGUCGAACGAGACCUUCGGGUCUAGUGGCGCACGGGUGCGUAACGCGUGGGAACCUGCCCUUAGGUUCGGAAUAACUCCCCGAAAGGGGUGCUAAUACCGGAUAAUGUCUUCGGACCAAGGAUGUAUGGCCUUUGGAUGGGCCCGCGUUGGCUUAGCUGGUUGGUAGGGUAAAAGCAUACCAUGGCGACGUUGCAUAGCUGGUCGGGGAGGAUGCUCCGCAGCGCUGGAGCUACGACACGGACCAGCCCGCUACGGAGGGCAGCGGUGGAGAAUAUUGGACAAUGGGCCAAAACCUGAUCCAGCAGUGCCGCGUGAGUGAUGAAGGCCGUAGGGUUGUAAAGCUCUUUUACCCGGGAUGAUAAUGACAGUACCGGGAGAAUAAGCACCGGCCAACUCCGUG
rnacentral:rRNA from 1 species